rnacentral:misc_RNA from 1 species
UCGACUGUCAUCUUUUUUCUUUUUUCCUUUUUUUUUUUCCGUGCACAUGUGUUUGUGCAUAUGCGAUUUUACAGGGGCUGGGCUUAGAGUUGAGGUUAAAUUUUGAAAAGUGAAUUGUACAAUGGAGAAGGAGCACAUAUAGGAAAUAGCCAGCGAUAUGUGGUGUAAGUAGGGAAAAGGACAGCAUUAUGAGGUGUGAAAAGUAGGGUUUUCUUCCUAUUAUUUAUCUUGGAAUUCCCUUAGUUUUUUCCUUUAAGUCAGCCUUAUAAGUUGUGAAGUAGGC